AGAGUUUGAUCCUGGCUCAGGAUGAACGCUGGCGGCGUGCCUAAUACAUGCAAGUCGAACGGACCGAACCUAGCUGGAAGCUUGCGGAGAGCGGGGAAGGCAGAAAUGUUGGAACUGCUGGACGCGAGUGGAAAGCUAGAAACGGUUAGUGGCAGACGGGUGAGUAACACGUGGGUGACCUACCCCAAAGUGUGGAAUAACUGUUCGAAAGGGCAGCUAAUACCGCAUGUGAUCCACUGCUGUGGCGGUGGAUGAAAGGUUCUUUGGAGCCGCUUUGGGAGGGGCCUGCGGCCUAUCAGCUAGUUGGUGGGGUAAGAGCCUACCAAGGCGACGACGGGUAGCUGGUCUGAGAGGAUGAUCAGCCACACUGGCACUGAGACACGGGCCAGACUCCUACGGGAGGCAGCAGUAAGGAAUAUUGCACAAUGGGGGAAACCCUGAUGCAGCAACGCCGCGUGGGCGAUGAAGGCCUUCGGGUCGUAAAGCCCUUUUCUGGGGGAAGAGGAAGGACAGUACCCCAGGAAUAAGUCUCGGCUAACUACGUGCCAGCAGCCGCGGUAAAACGUAGGAGGCGAGCGUUAUCCGGAUUUACUGGGCGUAAAGCGCGUGCAGGCGGCUGUGCAAGUUGGGUGUGAAAUCUCCCGGCUCAACUGGGAGGGGUCAUCCAAAACUGUGCGGCUUGAGGGCAGGAGAGGGAAGCGGAAUUCCCGGUGUAGCGGUAAUAUGCGCAGAUAUCGGGAGGAACACCAGUGGCGAAGGCGGCUUCCUGGCCUGUACCUGACGCUGAGACGCGAAAGCCAGGGGAGCGAACGGGAUUAGAUACCCCGGUAGUCCUGGCCGUAAACGAUGGAUACUAGGUGUGGGCGGCAUUGACCCCGCCUGUGCCGAAGCUAACGCGUUAAGUAUCCCGCCUGGGGAGUACGACCGCAAGGUUAAAACUCAAAGGAAUUGACGG
rnacentral:rRNA from 1 species